UGUGGUUGCUGGGACAACCCAUUAGCCAGCAGCCCCUGGGCAGCCUGGGCCAUCCUGAACUAUGAUGAUCUCUAAGGUCCUUUCCAACCCAAACCAUUCCAUGAUUCCAUAAUCCUUCAGCUGAUGGAUCCAUCACCCUUGUUGGGAGCAAAGAGGAGCCACAACAGAACGCUGGGUGCCACCCUUUGUGUGUAUCCAGGUCUCUGACCGUUAUCUUCCGGUCUCAGCAGAAGAGCAGUGGUGUAAUUAACAGCUUCAUGAAUACCAGAGUAAUAAUUAUGAACUGCAGGAAUGGCUGUUGCAUCAGGAAUUCCUCUUGUAGAACUGCAGCAGCUUUUUGGCUCUUCAGAACUCAGGAGACACAUGUAAAGGGAUGGGAGCUGAGCACACCAGGGCUGGGACAUCCAUGUGGCCUCAGGCAUCAAACAGUGCUGAACAGGGAAAACACUCCCAGCUGGCACAACCUUUACAGCAAUGGAGGAGGAGAAA